rnacentral:rRNA from 1 species
GACGAACGCUGGCGGCGUGCCUAAUACAUGCAAGUAGAACGCUGAAGCGAGGAGCUUGCUCUUCUUGGAUGAGUUGCGAACGGGUGAGUAACGCGUAGGUAACCUGCCUUGUAGCGGGGGAUAACUAUUGGAAACGAUAGCUAAUACCGCAUAACAAUGGAUGACACAUGUCAUUUAUUUGAAAGGGGCAAUUGCUCCACUACAAGAUGGACCUGCGUUGUAUUAGCUAGUGGGUGAGGUAACGGCUCACCUAGGCGACGAUACAUAGCCGACCUGAGAGGGUGGUCGGCCACACUGGGACUGGGACACCGCCCAGACUCCUACGGGGGGCAGCCGUAGGGAAUCUUCGGCCAUGGGGGCAACCCUUACCGAGCAACGCCGCGUGAGUGAAGAAGGUUUUCGGAUCGUAAAGCUCUGUUGCAAGUCAAGAACGAGUGUGAGAGUGGAAAGUUCACACUGUGACGGUAGCUUACCAGAAAGGGCCGGCUAACUACGUG